AUGUCACAGUGCACGCUCCAGCUAGAACUUCCAGCAUCCAACAAUGGCCACAACACAACCCUUGGCUCCUUGUGUCAGCACGCUCUUCUCCCUGUUCCAAGGCUACCCCUGUCACCUUGUUGUCACCUGCUCCCUCAUACCCCAGCAGUCCCCAAAGCUCCCCAGUGCCUGGAUUUUGCUCUCCAUCCCUGCACGAUGUCUGCAUUUGUUCCAAAGAAGGCUGGCACAGACAGAGAGGAGGAGAUGGAGCUGGAUGCACUGAUCAAUACAGAAGAGAAAAUGGAAGUGGACAGAGAGGAGACUCGAGAGGAAGAGAUGGAGGUAGAUGUGAAAGAGAUUGAGGAAGAGAUGGAGGUGGAUACAGAGAUUGAUAGAGAAGAAGAUACGGAAGUGGAGAGAGAGGAGACCGGAGAGGAAGAAAUGGAGGUGGAAAUGGAAGAACAUGUUGAGGAGAUGGAUGUGGAUGUAAAAGAUGAGGAAGACGACAUGGUCUUGGGAUGAAGACCGAUGCCAGCAGCAGAAUAGGCAGGUGCUCCCCACGAGCAGAGUGGGUCCCCUGCUGCCAGCCUGGGGCUGGGCUGGGCACUCCCUGCUCAGGGACACGCUAGCCCAUGCACUGGAUUCUGCUGGCCAUCCCUGGCCUGGCCUGGGCUUGCUUUGGGCCACACAAGCCCUGUUCCCGUGCCUGGGCCACAGCCCCCAGCCAGGCUCCCUUCUGGCAGCAGAGUCCCACUGUGCCAGUGUCCCAGCCUGGCAGCACAUGGAACACCCCUCCAUGCCUGACUGCACUGACCGUGCUACUUGUUUUUCUUCCAGGACUGAGGCACAUCCUGACACAGAUGCACCCAUCUGUAUAUACGUUUUAGAGUUGUUGUCUUCACAAGAGAGGUUUUAGAGUUUGCUUAAGUUUUCUGUAAAUACGUUUCAUAUUGUUUUGUUAGAUGUGUUCUUAGGUAAAUAGAUUCUAUACUUUGUUGUUGUUGUUGUUACAAAUAUUCUGACAAUGUAAAUAUGUUGUGUAGUUCAUUCUUGUCCCUUUUCUUCUACAAAUAAACAUUCUUUGUUUUUCA
rnacentral:lncRNA from 1 species